GCGCCGCAUCCCCCCCGCACCCCCGCGGCCCCCCGGGGGGGUUGAGCCCCGGGAGGGCCCCGAGGGGUUACAAUGACCCGCGGGACACAAAACCGCAUCAAAAGCCCCGCUGGGAGGUGGUUUUUCCAGCGCUGCCGAGCCCGGCCCGUGUGACAGCGAGCGGCGCGGGGCAGGGACGGAGCGAAGGUCGCGGGCUGGGAGCCACCGGGACAGUCGCUGCUGACCUUUAAAACUUAACUCCGGGAACACGUAACGCCGGCUGGGGGAAAGGAUGGAACUGGUUAUACUGGCAUGCUGAAAUAAAGAUUGUCAAGCCUCGUCUCACCCUGGAUGACACCAAGGGAGUUGACCUUUUAACAGCAGCAACAAACUCGGCAUGGAACAAGAUUUAAAGCUUGCACUGGGAAGGAGUUUCUCCAGCGGUUUUGUACCACAGGGAAAGGGCCAGGUCUGAUUCCUGACGCUCCCUCGAGCAACUGAGCAUCAGCAGUUUGUUGGAUGUAACCUGAAAGCUGUGAUGAACUUUGGGCAUCACCUCACCCAGUGUGGUCCUCAAGGGCCAUCAACUGCAUCAGAAAUGGAAGCAGUGGAGAAAAAGAUGGAGUUUUAUCAAGUGUAAUGCAAUACUUUGUCAUUUCCUGAAGUUUGCCCUCUAGUCAAAGGCCUCAAAAGAGCACAGACCCUGUUCCUAAAUGGGAUCAUUCAGGGAAGGAGGGAGGAGGGGCAGAGGGAGAUAAGAUGCACAGUAUUUUUUUACAUAAACAAAACUCAAGCGUUUCCAAAGUGACCAGCACCUCAUCCCUCUGCCAUCAAAUCUACCACUCAGAACUGCAAGACAGGAGCUUUCCCCAACUCCAAACCACACUGGCUCCACCUCAUCAACUGCAGAACAACAAAAUGGAAGUAAACUGAAAAUAUACUUGGAAGCAUUUUUUUGGUAACCACUUUUCACUCCCAGACCUCAGAUUUCAGAAAUGGAAGCACAGAGACAUCAGCUUUCUGAGACACCCACACAUUUCAGUAGCAGUCAGAUCACAAAAGCAGUAGGUUUGAACAAGAAUGACAUAAAAAUAAACCAAACCUCAUCAGUUGUAUUCCAGGGAAUGAACCAACUUAAUGUGGUCAGGAGCACCCUUCUGUGAAAACCAGGGAAGAGCCUGAAUCCGCUCUGAAGGCAGGAGAACUCUCACCAAGGCUCUUCUCCAGCACAAAUGGGUUAACAGCAUCAACAUCACUAAACCUGGGAAUAUUUUUGGUAUAGUGUCCCCUCCCCUGCUCCCCUGGACAGAAGCCCAGCACUGGGGACUGCAGAAAACAGCCAGUCCCAAAUGUUAAAGCAAUUACAGGUAUUAAAAUCCUUCACUUUCUACACCCAGGCUGCUUUAGAAAGCACUGUAACAGCGAGGAAUAAAACAUUACAAAGUUACUGAAACAAGAAAAUGAACUCUAAUUCCUUUAGACUUUGAGGUACAUUAACAGCAAUUGGGUUAUCAGCCUCCAGAGUUAAAACCAAAAUCUAACCUGUGUGACUGAACACCACCAAGGUACUUGGAAGACAUCCCACAUAUCCCUAAGAGCUGCUCUCAGCAGUGUCCGUGGCAUUUGGCUUCACCAAACUGCUCCAACGGAUUCCUGGGGUCAAGGGUCCCUUGGCUGGGCUGAACUGAGCAAACUUGGGGGGGGGAGGGAGGGAAAAACGAGUGAAAUAUAAAUAAUUCACAAACUGGUUUGUGCAAAUUUUUUUUAUUUCCACAUUUAUAUCACAACGUGUCCACUUAAAGGACCAAAUAGCAAAGUUGCUCCCUUCUGCAUCCCAGGAACACAGAAGUCUAGUUACUGUACAUUCACUAAGGCUCUUUGUUUUUGCAAAUUGCGUUUAUGAUGGAUAUCCAUAAGGCAAACAAUAUCUAAAGGAAUGGUAACAAGUAUAUUUCCAGCAUACAAACAGGCUUCCUUUUUCCCUCUCACAGUACAGUUACAAACUUGUAGCACCCUCAUUACAUUUAGAUUCUAGAAAAGGUGAUUUUUCUUUUUAUUUUUUUUGUCCUUUUUUUGUUUUUGUUUUUUUUUGUUUUUUUUUUUUUUUUAACCUAGAAGUUUGCAGGAAGGGAAAAGGAGGAAAAAUAUUUGGCUGGUGGUGGUGGGAUCAAAAAAUAUCGUUAAACAUCUAGUUUUUGCAGCAUUUCUCAGAGACUGGAUUUAAACUGAAACCAGACUAAAGGAUGUGGAUGCCUAUGGAAUGUUGAGCUGAAGCUGGAGGCCCAGCCUGCAGUGCAACACCUGCUGUUUAAAACCCAAUCUCCGUUCACCACAUGACUUUAGACCAACGCAAUCAUGUCCAGAGAUGUGAUAGAAAUAAAACUACAGUUUUUGCACAUUGUCUCUCGAAUAUCUCACUGCCAAAUAAUAAAAAAAAAAAAA